rnacentral:rRNA from 1 species
AUACGAAAGGUGCAAGCGUUGUUCGGAUUUACUGGGCGUAAAGAGAGUGUAGGUGGUUUAUUAAGUCGGAUGUGAAAUCCCGGGGCUCAACCUCGGAACUGCAUUCGAUACUGAUAGGCUAGAGUGUGGGAGGGGUAAGCGGAAUUCCGUGUGUAGCAGUGAAAUGCGUAGAUAUACGGAGGAACACCUGAGGCGAAGGCGGCUUACUGGACCAAUACUGACACUGAGACUCGAAAGCGUGGGUAGCAAACAGGAUUAGAAACCCCAGUAGUCC